rnacentral:rRNA from 1 species
UACGUAGGUGGCAAGCGUUGUCCGGAUUUAUUGGGUGUAAAGGGUGCGUAGGCGGUUCACUAAGUCAGCAGUGAAAUACGGCAGCUUAACUGUCGAGGUGCGGAUGAUACUGGUGGACUUGAGUACUGAUGAGGUAGGCGGAAUGGACGGUGUAGCGGUGAAAUGCUUAGAGAUCGUCCAGAACACCGGUAGCGAAGGCAGCUUACUAAGGAGUAACUGACGCUGAUGCACGAAAGUGUGGGGAUCAAACAGG